rnacentral:tRNA from 1 species
GGAUUUUUCGGCCUAGAUCCCAAUUGUCUUUUAACCAAUUGGUCGUAGGUUCGAAUCCUACACGACCCACCA